GCUCCAAUAAGAUCUUAGAUCACUGAGUGAAAGCUAGAAGGAACCUUCAAAGUCAUUGAGUCAACCUCACCCCUCUCUUUUGACAGAUGAGGAAACUGAGUCACAGGGAAUUUAAUUAUCUUGCCCCCAGGGUCACACAGCAUGUAAGUGUCAGUAAUGAGAUUCAAGGUUAGAAUGUCAGAGCUAGAAAGAGCCUUGUAGGUCAUUUAGUCUAACUCCUGCACUAUAGAAUUGAGAACACUGGGACCCAAAGUGUUUAAAGACAUUGGCCAGAGGCACACAAAAUACCCAGCACUCUUUCCACUGUGGCACCUAGCUACCUACAUUGAGGAGGAUCCCAAGGUCCAGGAAGGGGAAGGGAUUUGUCCAAGGUCACCUAGCAGGCUCACAGAAUCAUGUGUUGGAAAGGAUCUCGUAGUUGAAUACAAUUCAGCUCUGGACCAUAAUCUGAUCUAAUUCAAACCCAUCUAGUCUUUGUUGAAGACCUCCAGGGCAGAUGAGCUUAGUACCUGCAGAAGCAAUCUAUUCCAUCUUGGCAUCGGUCUAAUUAGAAAACCUGCAUUUAUAUCCUUUGAACUUCCACCCUUUACUCUUAGUCUGCGCUCAGAAUAAGCAGGAUGAGUUUGAUUCCUCCUCCAAAAAACAGACUUUCAAAUACUUGAAACCAGCUAUCAUCACCCUUAAUCUUCUCUUAUCCAGGAGAAAAAAAUCCUUCAGCUGAUUCAAAUACAGAAUGAUCUCAAGGCAUUUCUCCAUGUUGGUUGAUCUCCUUUGG
rnacentral:lncRNA from 1 species